GAUGAACGCUGGCGGCGUGCCUAAUACAUGCAAGUCGAGCGAACAGACGAGGAGCUUGCUCCUCUGACGUUAUCGGCGGACGGGUGAGUAACACGUGUAUAACCUACCUAUAAGACUGGGAUAACUUUGCGAAACCGGAGCUAAUACCGGAUAAUAUAUUGAACCGCAUGGUUCAAUAGUUAAAUUCGGUUUUUCUGUCACUUAUAGAUGGAUCCGCGCCGCAUUCGUUAGUUGGUAAGGUAACUGCUUAACAAGGCUACGAUGCGAAGCCGACCCGAGCGCGUGGACGGCCAGACUGGAACUGAGGCACGGUCCAGACUCCUACGGGAGGAAGCAGUAGGGAAUCUUACGCAAUGGGGGAGAGCCUGACGGAGCAACACCGCGGGAGUGAUGAAGGUCUUAGGAUCGGUAAACUAUGUUAUUAGGGGAGAACAAAUGUGUAAGUAACUAUGCACGUAUUGACGGUACCUAAUCAGAAAGCCACGGCUAACUCCGUG
rnacentral:rRNA from 1 species